AAUAGGUGUGCUUUCAAGUUUUAGGAUGACAUAAGGACUUCAUAGCACUCUAUCUUGGUCUUGGUGUCUGGUUUCGAUUUUAUAUCCCAGUCAAUCUAAAGUCAUGCAGCUUGGAAAUUUUCCCAUUGCUGUCUUUGUGUUGAUUGUGUUGGCUUCUCCAGGAUGUAUCUGUUCUGAGGCGGUUGCAUCUAAUGCUGAGGAGUGCAGUCAAAUUAAAGGAUUUUGUACUUCUAACCCUGAAUGCGGUACACCCUAUCCAGCCAUGGGGAACUGUGGUCCAGACACCUUAUGUUGCUUACCAUUUGGCAAAAAGUGAUUGACUCAGAGAAAAACAUCUACUACUACUUUUACUUCUACUGCUGAUCCAUUGUCCCUUCUUCUUCACAAUAAUAUAACUCUAUCCACAACAUGGAUAUUCUGCUUCAAGAACAGAGAAAAUCAUCAUGUGUACAUGCUUUCAAUGCAAAUCAUACAAUAAUCUGAAUAAACACAUCUUCUGUGUUGUUGAAA